ACUCUGGGUACACUUGGCCCAGUUUCAUUGAAAUGCAAGUGUGGGUAAAAGUGAGAUUUCCAUAAGACUCUUACAUUUCAAAUGACAACCAACACGCUGUUCUCACACACCUCUGACGCUUCUCGGAAGCCUGUACCUGGGUCUCUAGGUGGAGCAAACAUGUCCAUGGAAUUCCCGAGAAGAAAGAAUUGAAAACUGGAGAAAUGUCUCCAGAGAAGCAGGCUCACCCUGAGGCACCAGGUUCAUUACUCCACAAGAACAAAGAGGCACACUGAAUUAUCAGGCAGGGGAAAAGAAAGAAUGCCAGAGCUCACUGAAAAAGCCAUGGGUGAACUAUUUGAAUCUUUGAGCUUAAGUCCCCUUUGUAGUAUAUAUGUAAAUAAAAGGUAAAUACCA